GAUGUUGAGUACGUAUGAAGAUUUCAAGAGAUUGUCAAGUUUAUUUAGACCAUGAUUAUAAGUGGUUUCUUAGUGGGUUUUUAAACAAAUGACAUCAUUUAAUUAAAUCAAAAUUAAAUGAUACUGCAAUAACCGAUCCUUAAUAUGGGUUUUUGGUUACUGAUCCUUAAGCUUUGAAAGACCACACGUGUCGCUCAACCCUCAAUUUUAGUUUUUUUUUUUCAUUUUUCUUUUCUCUUUCUGCGUUAUUCUUCGUCUUCCCUUGUCAUCUUCAGAAUCUUCUCUACGGAUUUCAUGAUGGGAGGAGUUGCAGCCAUUGUCGCCAAAUCCGCAGCUGCUCCAAUCGAAAGGGUGAAGCUUUUACUCCAAAACCAAGGCGAAUUGAUCAAAACAAGACAUCUCACAAGACCCUACACCGGUCUAGGUUUGAUUAAAAGUGAAAGCUUAAUCUUUAGACACUUUUGAGUGUUGUUUUGUGUGUUAAGAGACCCGUCUCAGCAGUGGUCAUUCCGGUUACAGCCAGCUUCUUCCAGUGGUUCCUGCUCCUGUUGUUGUCCGAAGACCAAAGCCUAUUCGUAAACCGAGAGUGACUUCCCCGGUUCGAGCUUCUGGAUCAGUGGCUAUAGUUCAGAAGAUGACAGGUUCGUGGGUCUCAAAGGGAAGGACUUCAGAAGAUGUAUAGGUCGUGAGAAGAAGAAGAAACGUAGCCUUUAAAGGUUACUUCAAGACCCAGCUUCACCGUAUUGCUUAUAAGCAUUGGCUUCACUAGUCUCACUUGCAUUCCAAUGUGUUGUUUUUAUUAACAGAAUCAUUUUAAACAAAUGAGGAUAGGGGGAAAUUGUUGAUAAUUCUUGUGCAGAUACAUUUGUUAUUUCAAUGGCUCUGUGGAAGCUUCAAUGGUUCAUUGGUUCUGAUGAACUGAGAUUCUUGGAAGCUUCAAUGGCUCUGUCGCAUGUUAAAAACGAUGGGUCUGUUUCAUAUUUCUGUUUCAUGUUCUGUUUCAACGUUUCAAUGUGGCAUGUUAAGUUUGUAUGUUUCAGUAUUCAUGUUUUAUGUUCAAGGUCGUGUGAUCGUUUGUUGUAUGUUUCAUGUUGUUGUUCUGUUUUGGUAAUGAAAUGCUGUUUCUGUUUUGCUCUUGCAGCGUUCUUAUUCAAUGCUCCAUGAAACAAGAUGGUCACUUGUAGGUUGGUGAAUCUCGCCUUGUCAAGCCGGAAGAAGAGAGAGCGGUGACAAGGUGAAGCCGGAAGUGGAGACAACGGUGAAGCUACGGCUGAGGUGGUGAAGCCGAAGGAGUACAGAUGGAAGUUGGGCUAGUAUCAUUUUCUGGUUUUGAUUGUUUGGUCUCUGGAGUUAUAUCAUUCAUAAGAGCGAUUAGGAGGUGUUUUUGGAUUAUGAAAAAGGGAAUUGUAAUUGAUUAAUAUAAAGAAUUGUAGUUGUUAUAUUUGAGCUCAAUUCAUGGAAUUGGAUCAAACCUAUGUUAAAAAAAAAGAAAUAAUUAAAAGAAAUGUUAAAACUUGUUAUAA